UGGACUCUGCAAAAGGAGCUCGACUCCUUCCGGUAUGUCUUGCCACCGCAGUUGAUGCUGCACAACAAUAGACAUGUUUAGGUCACUAAGUGCUUCAUGGCAGAUGGAUUCACCGAAGGAGAUGUAGCAAGGGAGGUAGCAAGGGCUCUGUUUGAAGAGCUGGAACACCAAUGCCUGUUCUAGGUGUCCAAAAGCAUGCAAGCAAGGAAAUUGUCUCUAGGCUUACAAACAUACGUCCACGAAGCA
rnacentral:lncRNA from 1 species